rnacentral:lncRNA from 1 species
UCCAAUAUUUAUUUUAUCUUGUAUGUACAAAAAGUAAACUCCAAGUGAACAUCAAAUCAAAUCUAAUCCUUUUGGCCACAUGACUGGUUGUUCUUUAUCUCAUAGUUACAAUGAAUCAUAUAAACUGUAGACUGCCACUACCACGAUACUUCUGUGACACAGAAGGAAUGUCCUAUUUGCCUAUCUAUCUGAGGAAUGUUAAAUAGAGAAAAAUAGAUUAUAAAACAACCUGGAGGUCACAGGAUUCUGAGAUAAUCCCUCUGUUAAAAAACAUCUGAACAGCAAAUGUCCAAUCUGUAAUAAAAUAGUUAAAGGUCCAAGUCAAGUCCACUUCUACUUGGCUGGCCCAGCACAAGAAAUCUAACAGCACUUUGUAAUCAUUUUGCUUUUCUAAUUUUCCCGGAGGACAUGGGCCAUUGACAUAUAAGGAAAAAAAACAAAAACAAAAAACGAUUAAGUAAGUUGUGUGAUCCCUAACCUGUGAGUUCAAAGGAAGAUUUUGCAGGGCACCAUUAUUUCCAUAGAAGAUUCUUUUAACAGAGAUGUCAUUUCAAAUCUAACGUAGCAAUGGUGUGUUAGGAUCACCCAGAAUGAAAUGACUCUGCUGAUUUAUGGCAAAACAGACAUACCUUGGGUAAGAAAUGAAGCCAAUGAUAACAUCACACAUGCAAAGAUUUUUUUAAAUAAAUUGAGCUAUAUAGUUUUAUUCUUUUUGCUAAACUCAGUUAUUAAAAGGUUUCUUAAGAAACUUAACAUCUUUGCGCAACUAUGUCACUCAAGUGAUUUAUCUACAGGUUUGUUUUAAACCGCUAAGCAUCCUGAGUCCAUUUCUUUGCCUGGUGCUUGCACACACAAUUUUCUUAGAAGGAGGCAACAGUUUCAUUAACAUAACUGAGGACAGAAAUCAACUUGUUCUGGUCACCAAAUGUCUUGUGUAUAUUUAAAAAUAUAACACGAGAAAAAGAAGAUACUUUUUAAAAUUCAGAAUCUGUAGUUUGUAAAACUACUAUCAUUUUAGCAUAAGUUCAGUGCUGACCUUUUCAGAUCAAUCAUAAAUAAUAAAUUCUCUCAAGAGAAAUAUUUCUAGUGGAAAUGGGAAAGAUGUGAACUAAAGCUAUAACCCCUGUACCCUAAAUAUCAGCCACUUUGGGCUUAGCACUCUUUUGCGGGGCGGUGAUAAUACUGCAUUAGAGCACAUAUGAAUAUAUACCUUAGUUUACGCAGACAGAAUAUAUGACAUUUUUAAGUGAUAUACAUUUGCUUGCGGUAUCAUUUCUAAUAUUAUCAGUACUGUCAUUAUACAAAAAUUUUUUUGAGCAAUGAUUGAUAGUAACCCAUCAUACAUGCAGCUUAUGCCUUUCUGUGGCAGGAUGAAAAUCAAUUUAUAAACAUCUUGUGACAAGCUGGAAUUCAGUUAUAGAUCAAUUACAGAUUGCUCACUGGACAAUCAAGGACAUUAUUAGAAAACGGUUUCCACCACUAGAAAUUCAUCUACAUUGACAUCCACCUAAAUAUCCAGAAGGUCAUCCCCACUUUCGUCGCUCUCCACAGUCAGCUGCCGGGUCCACCACUUCUUAACUUCAGAACCGCAGGAAGCCGCGUCAGUCAUGGGGUUCAUUUUGCACACGACAGAUUUCAUGGUUGUCCUUCCUCCAAACCGAGGAACCUAGAUCUUCUCUGAUCUCUGAAAAAUAAGUUCCUGGAUAUGAAAGGGGAUACUUUCCUUGGUGGUAGUCCCAGUGAAGACCCACUGAACAUCGUCAGCCUCAAAAUGUAAGCUGUGCUGUCAUCUGCUUUGUGGAACACAUAUGCUACACAUCUUCUCCUUUCAAUUGGGCUGAAGUUGGGGCACAGUUAAAGAGCAUUAUAAAGCUCCUGCUUUAGCAUGAACUUAGUUAUCUAUAGAAAAAAACAUGUACAAGGACACUGGGCUGUGGGGAGCAUUGCUCUCCCUCCAUUCCUGAGUGCUCUUAAUGGGAUUAUCCUGGCUUUCCAAAACCCUAUAGAGAAGAAGCUCAUAGAAGAAAAUUCUCUUACUGAAUCAGUAAAAUAUGGAAAAUAAUGGGACUGUUUAUUAAAGGAUUGAAUGAGAGAACACAAGUAAUGCACUUAGAAGAGUGACUGGCAUACAGUGAGUACUACGUGCUGGCUUCUCAACCAUGAUAGCCUGAAAUGUACCCGGAAAAUGGGGGCUAAUGUAAGUCAUAUUUAGAGAAGUUAUUUUGGGGGACAAUGUUUUUGACAAGACUACAUUUUUCAUUAUGUUGCUGUCUGUAAACAACUGUAGAUGCAGACUUGCAUUUUGAAAGGCAAGACCCAAAACACACAAACAGAGUAAAUACCUUUAAAAUGCCUCGAUCGCUGGAGAAAUGCCUGGAUGGACCUACCUGAGGGCAGACGCCACUGCCCAAAUUUCCUCUGGGGUUUCCCUGCGUCGGCUGCAUCUUGCCGACUUCCUCCUCGAUCCGACAGCGUGGGGCUCAGGAGCUGCUGCUGGCUGCUUGUCUGCAUGGGAGGAGAAGCACACAGUUACCGUCUUUUUAACCCUGCGCUCUCCUCCUUUUACUAUAAGAAAGGAAAACACAUGGCAGGAGGACAAGUGGGAAGAACAACAUGGACUCAGAGUGUCCACAAUGGGGAAAAGUGAAAAUGGGUAUAAAGGGUCACAGAAGAAAAAGAGCCACCACUGCACGCCCUGCUGAAGGAGACACCACUCUUCCUGGGACAUCUUGUCCUGGGUAACCCCCACUGCUUCGUUCCCCUCCAUGCCUGAGAAUGUCAUUGUUUCCCUUCAUAUCUUCGCUGGCAAACCAGGGGGUAAGGAAGGGGAACUGCAGGAAGGAAGGUGGGGCAGUGGGGACGGGCUGGGCGGGGGCAGUCUACUGUCACCAGCCUGGAGAUCCACACUUAGAGCUUCAGGGAAAGAGUUCUCUGCAGGCAAAGCUGUAUGAUGGGCCCUGGUGGAGGAUGGAGCUGAUAACAAUCUAAGCUACAGUGAAAGAAAGAGAGAUGCCAAGACUUCCCACACAUUUCACCUGUUCUCAGGUUCACCUGUCACCUCUCCCUUUCCUAACAAAAGCCUUGGUCUUCACAUCUCUUUAGUAUCCUUUUUUUUUUUUUUUUGUCACCUCUUUCUUUCUUAGGCUUUUUCAUCUAAAAACAGAGGGCUCUGAAAUCAUCACUUUCCCCAACCUCAUUAGCCCUGUCUCACUGUCUGUCCUGACUUCAGCCUGCCUCCCUCUCCCAUGCGAGACAUUGCCAACCAUCUUCAGGGUGACCAGUGGCAAGGCCACUGCAGAUGCCUCCCCUUGCCCCUUGGUUGACUAACUCCGCAGAAGUCCCUGCAGUCGGUGGCAGAUGAUUUCUAAAGGCUGGGGAGCCCAAAACAUGAGAUCUACUGAAAACUGAGCUAUGGCACCAGUGGGCCUCCUGGAGCACCCUGCUGGGCCGUGGAGCCUUAGGCUUCCAAAGGUACUCUGGCCCCUGGCUGCGUUGCUGCACACCAUGGAGCCUGGUGCUGCUGGGGGCUCUGCACAGAGCACGGGAUCAGCUCCACGUUGUUAACCUCAAAUCGUAAUUGCUGCCUCAUAAAGGGGCAGGUCCUCCCAGCCAGCUGCUUCUCACAGCACAGGACUCUCCAGGACGCUGAUAACUCCUUGUACUUUUUUAUAUAGACACAUACAUAGAGUUUGAAAAUGAAAAUAUGCUGUGACUUAAUAAAUAGAAACUCCUCAA